UGAGGAAUAUUGGUCAAUGGGCGGAAGCCUGAACCAGCCAUGCCGCGUGCAGGAAGGAGGCCCUACGGGUUGUAAACUGCUUUUACCCGGGAAGAAACCGCCCCCUGUGGGGGGCGUUGCCGGUACCGGGGGAAAAAGGAUCGGCUAACUCCGUGCCAGCAGCCGCGGUAAUACGGAGGAUCCGGGCGUUAUCCGGAAUUACUGGGUUUAAAGGGUGCGUAGGCGGGGAUUUGAGCCGGCGGUGAAAUGCAGCGGCUCAACCGCGGGAAUGCCGUUGGGACUGGGGCGCUUGGAUACGGUCGGGGCGGGGGGAACUCGUGGUGUAGCGGUGAAAUGCAUAGAUAUCACGAGGAACGCCGGUAGCGAAGGCAGCUCGCCGGGCCGGUAUUGACGCUGAGGCACGAAAGCGUGGGGAUCGAACA
rnacentral:rRNA from 1 species